rnacentral:rRNA from 1 species
CAGUAGCCACGGGAAUACGUAGGUGGCAAGCGUUGUCCGGAAUUAUUGGGCGUAAAGGGCUCGCAGGCGGUUUCUUAAGUCUGAUGUGAAAGCCCCCGGCUCAACCGGGGAGGGUCAUUGGAAACUGGGAAACUUGGGUGCAGAAGAGGAGAGUGGAAUUCCACGUGUAGCGGUGAAAUGCGUAGAGAUGUGGAGGAACACCAGUGGCGAAGGCGACUCUCUGGUCUGUAACUGACGCUGAGGAGCGAAAGCGUGGGGAGCGAACAGGAUUAGAUACCCCUGUAGUCCCUGUCUCUUAUAC